rnacentral:rRNA from 1 species
GACAGAGGUGCCGAGCGUUAGGCGGAAUCACUGGGCUUAAAGCGUGUGUAGGCGGACUUCUAAGUACCUUGUGAAAUCCCACGGCUCAACCGUGGAACUGCUUGGUAUACUGGUUGUCUUGAGCCACUUAGGGGCAGUCGGAACAGACGGUGGAGCGGUGAAAUGCGUAGAUAUCAGGAGGAACACCGGUGGCGAAGGCGGGUCUCUGGGCCGAUACUGACGCUGAGGAGCGAAAGCGUGGGGAGCGAACAGG